AAGCAGGUUUACUCAAGGGUAUAUGGUGAAUGCCUUGGGAUAUUGGGGCGAUGAAGGACGUGGCGUAGCUGCGAUAAGCCUCGGGGAGGUGUGUAGCAACCUUUGAUCCGGGGAUUUCCGAAUGGGGAAACCCAAUCUCGAUAAAUCGGGAUUAGUCCCGUCGAAUGAUGGGACAGCGAACUCGGCGAAGUAAAACAUUUCAGUAGCCGGAGGAAAAGAGAAAGAAUUUUAUUCCCUUAGUAGCGGCGAGCGAAAAGGGAAGAGCCUAAACCUUUUAUAAUUUUUCUAAAAAAUUCUAAAAGGGGUUGCAAGGUAAUGGCGUUGGAGGCAACUCCAGGGAGUAAAAAAUUAAGACUUCCUUAGUCGAACAUGGCUGGAAAGCCUGACCACAGUGGGUAAUAGUCCUUUAGGCGAAAAGGGUCUUAUACUCCUUGUCAUUAUUCUUAAGUACGGCGAGAAACGAUAAUCUUGUCGGAAACAGGCAGAACUAUUCUGCCAAGGCUAAAUACCCAAUAUCACCGAUAGUGAACAAGUACCGCGAGGGAAAGGUGAAAAGUAGCCCGAUAAGGGCGGUGAAAUAGUACCUGAAACCAUAUACUUACAAAGAGUCGGAGCCUUGACGCAAGUCGGGGUGACGGCGUGCUUUUUGCAGAACGACCCAACGAGUUUUUACGUCUUCUUUGUCUAAGUCCAUAAGGACGGAGGCACAGGGAAACCGAGUGUGAAUAGCGCGUUUAUAAGAGGACGCAAAAGACCCGAAGCCAAGCGAGCUACCCAUGACCAGGAUGAACUCAGUAGAAAUACUGGGGAAGGUCCGAACUCACGAGCCGUGCAAUACUCGGAGAUGAGUUGUGGGUUGUAGUGAAAAGCUUAUCGAGCUUGGUAAUAGCUGGUUCUCCUCGAAAUAGCUUUUGGGCUAGCCUCUUUUCACUUUCUGGGGGUAGAGCACUAGAAGGAAUAUCGUGGUUUUACCUAGGUAUCCUACUAAACUCCGAAUACCAGAAGUUAAAAUGAAAAGGGAGUAAGACUACGAGGGCUAAGCUUCGUAGUCAAAAGGGUAACAGCCCAGAUCGUCAUCUAAGGUCCCUAAGCUAAGUUAAGUGGCAAAAGAAGUGUUUCGUCUUUGACAGAUGGGAUGUUAGCUUAGAAGUAGCUACCAUUUAAAGAGUGUGUAACAACUCACCAUUCUAUGUUUAUCUAGGGCGAGGCGCGCUGAAAAUGUUCGGGGCUAAACUUAGCACCGAAGAUACGGAUUCCGUCUUUUUUAAAAAGAUGGAGUGGUAGAGGAGCAUUUCCUGCGCAGCGAAGCUCCGUUGUAAGGCGGGGUGGAGCGCAGGGAAGAGAGAAUGUUGGGAUGAGUAACCGCAAAUCCGAUGAGAAAUCGGAUCACCGAAAACCUAAGGUUUCCUUGGCAAUGUAAAUCAGCCAAGGGUUAGGCGAACCUAAGGCGACCCCGAAAGGGUUAGUCGAUGGACAGCCGGUUAAUAUUCCGGCCCCUCUUCAUUUUUCUAUGGAGUGACGAAGUUUUGUAACUUAGGCAUAUUAUUGGAUUUAUGUUGUCUACUUGAGGAUGUCUAAUAGGUAAAUCCGUUAGAUACCAGUCCAAGAGUUGGUAAAAGGUUUGUCCACGGACAGGCCAAUCUAAGUGAGCAAGCUUCCAAGAAAAACUUCUAAGUCUAAAAAUGGAGAGUUCGUACCGUAAACCGAAACAGGUAGGUAGGGCGAGUAGCCCAAGGUGAACAGGUUAACCCUCGUUAAGGAACUCGGCAAAACAACGGCCGUAAGUUCGCAAUAAGGCCUUCCGUUCAUGAAAACUGAGCGGACGCAGUUAAAGAUCCCUAGCGACUGUUUACUAAAAACACAGGUCCCUGCUAACUCGUAAGAGGAUGUAUAGGGGCUGACGCUUGACCAGUGCUAGAAGGUUAACGAUGGGGGUUCUCGCCGUAAGGCGAGAGCUCACUGUCCGAAGCCCUAGUGAACGUCGGCGAUAACUAUAAUCGUCCUAAGGUACCGAAAUUCCUUGGCAUGUAAGUUAUGUCCUGCAGGAAAAGCGGAACGACUGGGGAACUGUCUCAACGAGGAGCCUGGUGAAAAUGCAAUGUCGGUGAAGAUGCCGACUACCUUCGGUAAGACGAAAAGACCCCGGGAGCUUUACUAUAGGUUCUCAUUGGGUUAUCGUUUUUGAUGCGUAGUAUAGUGGGGAGGCUUUGAAGCCUUGACUUCGGUUGGGGUGGAGCCGACAGUGAAAUACCCAUCUUUAAAAAUGAUAAUUCUAACCUUCCUGUAAUACGGGAAGAGACAGUGAGUGCUAGGUAGUUUAAGUGGGGCGCUUGCCUCCUAAAAGGUAACGGAGGCGUUUAUCAAGGUUGGCUAGCUCCGGAUGGAAAUCGGAGCGGUAGUGUAAAAGCAUAAGCCAGCUUUACUGCAAGACGGGCAUGUCGCGCAGUUGCGAAAGCAGAAUUUAGUGAACCGACCCUGGAUUAUAGAAUCGGGGAAGACAUCGGACAAAAGCUACCCCGGGGAUAACAGGCUGGUAGGUGCUGAGAGCCCACAUCGACGCACCUGUUCGGCACCUCGAUGUCGGCUCAUCCUAUCCUGGGGCUGAAGAAGGUCCCAAGGGUUUGGCUGUUCGCCAAUUAAAAGGGUACGUGAGCUGGGUUUAAACCGUCGUGAGACAGGUUGGACUCCUAUCUACCGUAGGCGUGGAUACUUGAGUGACCUCAUCCCUAGUACGAGAGGACCGGGAUGAACGAACCUCUGGCGUACCAGCUGCCCUGCCAAGGGCACUGCUGGGUAACUAUGUUCGGCAGAGAUAAGCGCUGAAAGCAUAUAAGCGCGAAACUCUUCACAAGAUUAGGUAUCAUAGAUUGGUCGAAGACUACGACCUUAAUAGGCUUCAGGUAUAAGUCCCGUAAGGGAUUAAGCCGAGAAGUACUAAUAAAUCAUUAGCCUGUUUAU
rfam:Candidatus Portnoybacteria bacterium RBG_13_40_8 RBG_13_scaffold_1107, whole genome shotgun sequence.